rnacentral:misc_RNA from 1 species
AACGCAAAUUGCACUCCCUGGUAUUCCGGGGAGUAUGCCUGUUUGAGGGUCGUUAGAAUAAAAAUCGAGGCGUCGCUCUUUUUUUUGAAGGGUGAUCGCGUCGGAAUUGAGCCGUCUUUCAAAUGUUAAUUCAUGUCAAAGUGGCUUAAAAUUUCAUCCAUCCGGUACGAUUAAAGCGUAUUUAAGAUCAAUUUUGAUUAAGAACGCGCGAUGACGUACCAUCUCAUGUAGUACGUUUGACCUGGCGUCGUCAGGAUCAUUCGUAUACGAUACUCAACUUUUGACCUCAAAUCAGGUAAGAAUACCCGCUGAACUUAA